GCAUAGCCUACUGCACGCCUAGGCUGUAUGUUAUUACUCUGAUGGGACCACUGUCAUAUGUGGUUUGUCAUUGAAGGAAACUUCGUUACACAGCACAUGACUAGUCUGGGUUUUUUUUAAAGCACAUUCAUUUAAAUUGGCCAUUUAGCAACUGGCUUUUGAGCAACUGACCUGGAGCUGCUACUACCUGCCAUCUGGGUGAGGAGAAAGAAGCUGCUGAUUAUUGUCCCCUGUUUGUGAUGUCAGGAAGCAGAGCAUUGAGAUCACAAAACACCAGUGUGGAGCCAGGCAUCUGAGGCCACUGUGUGGGUAUCUUCUGAUGGUCCUGGAGACGCCUGCUGACACUUCACUCUGCUCUUUGGGGCUUUCCCCAGAAGACUGUGGGAUGGACCCCAGCCUAGGGGAUGCUAAGAUGAAUACCAAAAGAGCUCAUUUCAUUCAUCUGCCGUGUUAGCAUCAAACAUCUACUCAAGCCUUGAAACCUGAGAAGGAGAAGCCCUCUGUCCCUAGGAUUAAGGGAUAGGGGAAUGAAAUAGAUUUCCUGUAUCAAACAUUACACUCUAGUAGAUGAGCCUCCUCUUUAAGAAGCUGUCUUCAAGUGUGCUUAAUUUUGCCUCAAUCGGGUAAAAGAAUUGAGUUCUUGAGAGCUACAUGUUUUCAUCAGUAACUCAGGGCUAUCCAUCAUGUCAAGACACUUAAACAGAGGUGAGAUUUGAAGCUGUGAAAGAGAAUGACCAAGGAAGAGGCAGAAGGAAAAUGAGAGGUAACCACUGAAGGAGAUAGACGUGGUCAUGGAGGUUCAAUUGGAGCGGCUCAUGCUCUAGACACAAAGGGCGGAGAGGGAGAAGCUGGUAGAUCCGCUUCUGGUGGUUGCCAGCAACCCUUGGCCUCUGGCUGCAUCACUCUCAUCUCUAAUCCCAUGGUCACAAUGCCUCUUCCUCUUCUGCCUGUGUCAAAUUUCCCUCUGCCUCUCUUAGAAGAACAAAGAUACACGUGACUGCAUUUAGGACCCAACUGGAUAAUCCAGGACAAGCUGGCCAAAACAAGAUCCUCAAUUUAAACAGAUCUGCAAAGUCCUUUGUUGCUGUAUAAAGUAACGUUCACAAGUUCUAGGCAUUAGGACCUAGAUAUCUUUGGCAGCCAGUAGUGAGCCUACUACACAAGAUAAUAGUGAACAAAAUGCAAUGAAAAUUUCGAAGAUGUGUUCACGAAAAGUUCAAUUCCACUGUAGGACACAGAGGAUGAUGUAUGGAGUAAUUCUUUAAAAGCUUGAGCAAAUGUGUGUGCCAACUUUUUUUCAAUGUGAUAAUCACAAAAUUUUUUUUUCUGUUACCCUGAUGUUGUAUAUAAAAAUAAGCAUUUUGACAAGGACAUCUAUUUCAAUUGAGAAAAUAGCACGGCUUGUUUGAAUUGUGUCUGGGUCACAACCGGUUUCAAGUAUACUUUUCCUUCACAGGCUUCUUAAUUUAGUGAAAAUAAGAACCACAACACUGUGUUCCACCAAAAUAGGUAUCCAUAUUACUUCAAGAUCAAAUAAUUUUAUCUUCAAUGGUGGACUUUUCAGUAGCAUUUACAAUUGUAUUGGUGAUUCUCUUUUACCUCCAAAUCUCAACAAAAGGAACUUCCAAUUAUUAUUGGAAACUGAUUUUCUAUUUGAAACAUCUUGAUGACUGAUACAAAGAUUUCACUCUUCUUCUGUUAAUGAAUCCAACAUUGUGGCUUCACUUUUUUUUAAAGACCACUUUUUUAGAGCAGUUUUAGGUUCACAGGAAAACUGAGUGGGAGUUACAGAAAUUUCCCAUAUAUCCCCUGCCCCCCCACUCCCCCACUCUCCCCCAUUAUAACAUCCCCACCAAAUGGUACAUUUGUUACAUUCGAUGAUCCUACACUGACACAUCAUCAUCACUCAGAGGCUGUAGUUUACACUAGGGUUCACUCUUGGUGGUGUACCUUCUACGAGUUUAGAAAAAUGUAUAAUGACACCUGUUGUAGCUUCACUUUUUGUACAUACUCAAGAAAACUUGCAAGCAGAAACAAUGAAAUUCUUUUAGUAGAGUAGGCAUUGAACCGAAAUUAAAAAGUCAUGCUUCACAGAGGGAUAUGGAAAUGCAGAUGCACUUUCUGUAGCUGCAUAUUUCAACCUGUCAUCUUCCAGCACUGUCUCUUAAAGUAACUGUUCGUUUUUGAAAUAGAUGCUGAAGCUUCUCCAGCAGAUUUGUGCCUUCUGUUUUCACAUAGUCAGUGAUAUCCCCGGUGGGUACGUGAAAUGUGAACAAAUAUUUUCAGCAAGUUGCAUGUUCAUCCUUUAACUUCCUUGAUAAAUGAAAGUCAGUACUUAAUUUUUUAUUAAAAAUGCAUGUUUUGGGGGGCUGGCCCAGUGGUGUAGUGGUUAAGUUCGCGCUUUCUGCUUCGUCAGGCUGUGGUUCGCCGGUUCGGAUCCCAGGGGCAGAAAUACGCACUGCUUAUCAAGCCAUGCUGGGGCAGGCGUCCCACAUAUUGAAAAACAGAGGAUGGGCAUGGAUGUUCACUCAGGGCCAAUCUUCCAAAUCUUCACUGCAUGCUCUACAGCAAGGCGACUUGGUCUCCAUUUCUUAGCCCUUUACGUAUGCCUGGAUUAGGUUCCUAUGGCAGCAGUAACAAAGUACCACAAAUUGAGUGGCUUAAGACCACACAAAGUUAUCCUUCCCCAAGUCUGGAAGUCAGGAGUCCCAAAUCAGUGUCACUUGUCCUUCCGGAGGCUCUCGGAGGGAAUCCGUGGCCCUGAGCAGAUCCUACAAGGUUAGGAUCUUGCUAGCCUCUGGACAUCACAUUUUCAUCCACUAAUCAACCUGUAACCUUUUGUGUGUGUUUCUGUUUAAAAACACCUUGUUUAAUAUAUGUUGUCGAUUCAUUGACUUUGAACUCAGCCAAAAGCAGUAUGCUCACCCCUGAACAAAGCUUGUCCAGCACGUGGACUUUGGCAGAACUUUCUUGUGCUGAGGAACAGCAGGCCGCGCUGCAGCCCUGUAUUCCGGGGCCGUUUAAACAGCGAAGUCACCAACAAUAGGCACAAAAAUAAGACAAAUGUGGCACUACCUAUACCGUGGAAAGGCCGCUUGUUUACAGAAUGAGAGCUGAAACAGGAAGGCAGAGCUCACCUUGUUUGACCUCAGCAGGGAACGUGCCUCAAGCAACCCAAGAUUUUCACCUUUGUGCCAUAUCCACACACGGGGUGGGGGGAAGCACCAGGAAGCGUUGAUUUUGGGAUUACAAAUACAUUUUAGCCAGUACGUGAAUGAGCAAAUACAGAAUCUGCAAAUAACGAGGACUGGCUGUAUUACAAAACUCUUUUCCAACAAGUACAGAUUAAUGCUCCUAGUAGCAAUUGCAUGAGGAUACUUUCAGCAAACAGCAUUGUUUCAAAAACUUGCUGAACUAACAGGUUUCUUUUUUAAAGUUACCUCAUUGUUUUAGUUUGAAUUUCUCUGAUUGCUACUGUACUAUUUUUUUGUGCAUUUAUUAAUCUGUUUUUCCAUAAAUUUUUUGUUUCUGAACUUUGUUCAUUUUUCU
ensembl:lncRNA